GCCCCCGUAGCUCAAUGGACAGAGCGCCUGACUUCGAAUCAGUAGGUUCAGAGUUCGAAUCUCUGCGGGGGCG
rnacentral:tRNA from 1 species